GGGAGGAGCUUGAACUAAGAAACAGUUGACUAAAUAAAUAUAUAAAAUAUCAGCAGGUGGGGGAUAAAGCAAGGUAAGGAGUGAGAAGGACCAAAGAGCAAUGAUAUUUUAACAGUUUUUCUCAUUUAUUUUUUAAAGAAGAGUUGAUUUACAAUGUUGUAUUAGUUUCUGGUGUACAGCAAAGUGAUUCAGAUAUAUAUAUAUGUAUGUAUUUUGUAAUCAUUUCCAUUAUUCUUUAUUAUAAGACAUUAUAGAUAUUAUUACCCGAGAAUAUAGUUCUCUGUGCUAUGCAGUAGGACCUUGUUUCUCUAUUUUAUGUCAAGUCAUUUGUAUCUCUUAGUCUCAAACUCCUAAUUUUUCCCUCCCCCACCCCCUUUCCCGUUUAGUAACCAUAAGUUUGUCUUCUAUAUCGGUCUAUUUCUGUUUUGUAAAUGAGUUCAUUUGUAUCAUAUUUUAGAUUCCACAUAUAAGUGACUUCGUAUGCUAUUUGUCUUUCUCUGAUUUCCCUUAGCGCAAUAAUCUCUAGGUCCAUCCAUGUUGCUGCAAAUGGCAUUAUUUCAUUCUUUUUAUGGCUGAGUAGUAUUCCACUGUAUAUGUAUGCACCAUUUUAUUGAUGCAUCUGUCAGUGAACAAGUUGCUUCCAUGUCUUGGCUUUGUAAAUGGGGCUACUGUGACGUAGGGGUGCAUGUAUCUUUUUGAAUGAUAGUUUUGUCUGGGUGUCUGGAUGUAGUAUCAUGUGAUAGCUCUAUAUUUGGUUUUUAAAGGAACCUCCAUACUGUUUCCAUAGUGGCUUCACCAGGUUACAUGCAACUGGUGCUAUUUUAGAUGUGGUGAUUGGGCUCUGACGUGGGAGGUGCCGUGAUGCAGUGACCUGUUGAUUAAAGCGAAAAGCAUAGGGAAGCAUCCAGCACAGGCUUGGCAUGUGGUUAGUGCUUAAUCAAUGGUCAGUGUCCUUCUAAUUCCUAUCAUCAUUAACCUUGAUAAUAUGGUACCUGCAUGCCCUUUUGAAAUUUGGGGAGUCUGUAAAGUAUUAUAGGAAGCUUGGUUUAAGCACACUUGGAAUGGAAUUUUACAGCUAUCUAUAUAUAAUUUUUUAAAAUUUUCAUUUACAAUUUAACUUUGGAGGUAUUGAACAACCUUUAAAGGAAAAAUCAACAAAAGCUGUGUGGUUAAAUAUCUUGCAAUUUUUUUUUUCCCUCUAGUACAAUUAAACCUUUCUUGUCCACCUCCUUUGAAUCAGGCUCUGUGCUGGGGACAGAGGAAACAAAUGUGUGAAACUGAGUCUUUGCCCUCAGGAAGCUUAGACUCUUAUUUUUUCCCCUAAUAAUUGAGGCCUCAUGUGUUAUUUGACUCAGAGCUGCAGGAACGCUUUAUCUGCUGACAAGGCUCUGUGGAGUUUAGAAAAACCAAGUUGCAUUUGAGUGUUAACUUUGAUGUUUGUUUAGUUCUAUAAAAUAUGUAAGAGGCUUUUCCAUUAGUGAGUAAGACUUUCAAAAAGCUUUCAGAAUCUCAUGUCACAAGCAGUCGUUAAGUAUUGCUAAAGGGGAGUCCCAGAGACUGACAGCUUGGAAGUGUAAGCACAGUAUGUGGCUGAGGAUGUGCGGUCGGAGCGAAGCCCCCGUUCCCAUCUUAAUUGAGGUCAGGUGGGUCCAGCUGAUUCAUUUGGUCUGAAAAGUCCAGAUUGCUUGGGAAUCUACAGUCCACUUGGCAACGCUCUCUUAUCCUUUGGCCUUUCUAAGCAGCAUAUCACCUUCUGUCUGGGGAAAGUUAGGGAUGAGAAUCUCAGCCUGGGUUUAUUGCAGUGAUGGAAUGAAGUGGGAUUUGGGAAAAAUGAUUUACACCAGAGAGACCCAUAUGGGGUGCCGUAAGUGACACAGAUGAAACACACCUCGAAAUUGCUUUCCGCAGUGUUUUUGUUAUUUGUGAGGCUGCGAGCUUGCUUUGGGAGCAGACGUGGCACCUCCUCAGACCUACACGGACUCUGUUACUGAACCAAAUGUCGGUCCCCUUUCCUGUGCAGUGAAGCCCAUGCACUGACACCGGGCUGCGGGGCAGGAAAAUGCAGCGUUUAUUGCAGGCUCCAAACAAGGAGUCCAGGCAGCUAGGGCUCAAAGUCCCUGAACUCUCCAGUGGCUUUCAGGGAAAGGUUUUUAAAGACAGGGUGAGGGAGGGGUGUGUGGGGUGUGUGGUCAGCUUGUGGCCAUUCUUCUGCUAGGUUGCCGGUGAGGUACUGGGAGUGAACAUCAUUCACCUUCUGGUUCCAGUUGCUCUGGGGUCUAAGUGCCUGUGGGCAGCAUAUGGUUAACUUCUUCCACCUGGUGGAGGUUUCAGUAUCUGCAAAACAGCUCAAAGGACAGGCUCAGAAUAUGAUCUAUAGCCUUUGAGGAGGAACUAAAGGACUUUGUUUAAGGGCUAAACUAGUAUUAUUUUGUCUUGCCUGAUUGUUCUUCUGUGCUUUUGGGUUUUCUCACUUCUCUGAUUCAGUUUGUUUUUUGAAACACAGGGAAAGCUUAAGAGGCUAAGGUUUUACUGCAAACAAGACUCAGGUGGAAGAUGUGGGGGUUCUAUCCUGGGAGGGCCCCUUAGGGUCCUGCUCAGUUAAAACUCUGAACCCUGGCUUUUCACCUGCUACCUCCUUCUUCUGCUUUUUGCUCUUCAUGCCCUUCCCUCCCCUCCUCUUCCCUUCCCUUCCCUGCCCUUCCCUCCCCUUCUCUUCCCUUCCCUGCCCUUCCCUUCCCUUCCCCCUCGUACCCUGCCCUUCUCUACCUACCUUCCCUACUCUCCCCUCCCCUCCCCUCCCCUUCCCUAGCCGUCCUUCCCUACCCUGGCCUGUCCUAUCCUGUUUUAUCCUAUCCUAUCCUGUUCCCUAUUCCAUUUUCCUUGGCUGCCUCCCCCAGAAGGUGUGUAAGCCUUGUGAAGGCAGGGACUUGGCCUUGUUCACAUCCGUAUACCCAGUGCUUGGUGCAGAGAAGAUGCUUAUGGAAUAUUUGCUCCAUUCAUGAGUCGCCACUGUGGCGGCUGAGAGCAGCAGCAGUAACAACAAAACCCUGGGGGUCCAGGAGAGCUUGGCUGAGGACAGUCAAAACUCUGUAAAGUCAGAGCAAGGCUUCUAGUAUUCAUCUGGAUGGCAGAGGACCUGAUGCUCUGACUAAGACCAUGUGAAGCAGUGAUAUAUGAAAUCAACUCUCUUUUUUCCAACCUUUAUGAUAAAAAAUGCUCCUAUGGGCCGAAAAGUAAAAGUACUAUAGGGAUGAGGCAAAUACGUUGUUUGCAUUGAUGGUUUUAAAAUACUUUUAUUUAUUUAUUUUUUUUUAUUUUUGCCAUUUGGAUAAGGGCUGUUAUGCUUCAGCUUUAACACAAGACUCAUUGAUUCAGAUUCUGGGUGGGCGUGCAGGUUGAUUAACAUCCACUGCUCUAGAAACAUCAUCUUUUUGGGGGGGUUUGGGUUUUGUUUUUUUUUUUUUUGCACCACACCUUUAUUAGCAAUAAUGUGUUUAGUUCUUUAAUUGGGCACAAGGGCAGGGCUCUUUAAAAGUUUUGUUGGGAUAUAGUUUACUCACAAUGUUGUAUUAGUUUCAGGUGUACAGCAAAAUGAGUCAGAUAUAUAUAUAUUUUUCUUUUUUCCAUAUAGGUUAUUAUAGAUAUUGAGUAGAUUUCCCUGGGACACACAGCGGAUCCUUGCCAGCUAUCUGUUCUAUCUGUGCCCAUCCCAUAUUCCCCCAGUUUAUCCCCUCCCCACCCCACCCCUUGGCUUCCCCUUUGGGACUUAUAAGCUUGAUUUUAAAAUCUGUGAGUUUGUUUCUGUUUUAUACAUUCUUCUGUACCUUUUUAAUCAGCUAAAUGGUAUCAUUUGAUACUGUGUUUGACUUACUUCACUUAUUAUCAUGAUCUCUGAGUCUAUCCGUGUUGCUGCACAUGGCAUUAUUUCAUCUUUUUAUGGCUGAAUAAUAGUCCAUUGUGUAUAUACCACAUCUUCUGUAUCCAUUCCUCUGUGAAUGGACAUUAGGUCCAUGUCUCGGCUAUUGUGAAUAGUGCUGCCAUGAACAUUGGGCUGCAUGCAUCUUUUAGAAUUAUGGUUUUUCUCCGAUAUGCCUGGUAGUAUGAUGCUGGAUCAUGUGGUCGUUCUAUGUUUAGUUUUUGAAGGCAUCUCCAGGCUGUACCUCAUAGUGGUGGUGCUAAUUUGCUUUCCCACAAACAGUGUAGGAGGGUUCCGUUUUCUCCACGCCCUCUCCAGCGUUUACUGUCUGUAGCCUUUUUGAUGAUGGCCGUUCUCACUUGGGUGAGGUGGUACCUCAUUGAAGAUUUCUCUAAUAAUUAGUGAUGCUGCCCAUCUCUUCACGUGCUUUUUGGGUAUCUGUCCAUCUUCUUUGGAGAAAUGUCUGUUUAGAUCUUCUGACCAUUUUUUGAUUGGGUUGUUUGUUUUUGUGAUAUAAAGCUUCAUGAGAUAUCUGCAUAUUUUGGAGAUUAAGCCCUUGUCAGUCACUUGGUUUGCAAAGACUUCCUCUCAUAGAAACAUCAUCUUUUUCUUUGAUGCCUUCCUUGAGAUAACAUGCUUUGAUGACACUGUUUGCAAAUCUGAAUGGCUUGAUCUAAGAGUCGCCUACGCUGGUAUUCCUUUGUGAAUUCAUAUAAUGUUAAGAGAACCCUUGGAUAUAAGAGAUUUUCUUAAUGUUGCUGUAGGUUAUUUACAUAGCUCGUUAAUCGUCUGCAUGUCAACUGAGAGUCAUUGUAAAAGGCUCAGGAUAUUCCCUCUCUUCCGAACCUCACGUCUGUACACACCGUUCGUCUAGGUUAAAGCCAAACCACCCCUCUCAGGAAGUGAAGUUCAGGAAACCACUCAAACAUCUCAGCAAUUACUGAUACCAAAGAACUUUCUGUCACCCACUCCUUCCACUGAGGAAUGUUUUGUAAGCGCUGCUGUUGAAGCACAGGUGGAAACCCGUGAACGUGAAGACAUCCUGCCCAGAGCAGGAAGCUGCCAGAACACCCUGCCAGACCCCCCUCUGUCUCUGCCUGUGCAGGAGAGCGGCAGCCGUGGCCGAGUUGUUGGGCUUACAUGAAUAAUGACUGGGCGGGAAGUCGAUGCUGGACUUAAACACAGACUCCUCUCUACAUGUUGUCGAAGCACUGAGUUGAGCUUUCUGACUGGUGGUGUCUUAGAAACCAAAAUUUCUCCUACUGCUUAAAGGGUUUAACUGGAGAGAGGGAUGCAGUACGUAAAUCUUUAAACCUCUCUUUUGGAUUACAAAGAUAUUCAUGUCUGAUGUUUAGUUUUGUCUUCCUGACAACAAUGACCCACUCCUCCAUUUUCAGACAAAUAAUUAAACACAAACAACAGGCACUUGGGCCGACAAGAAAGACUCCGUCUGCAACCUCUGCCGUUCGGGUCUUAGGGCAGAAAUGUGAUCGCUCUGCUCCAAUGAAGAUCUCUGAAUGAGGGACUGUGGUUUACUCUUAGCCUUCCCUCUAGUGGAAUAGAAAAGUCCAAGUACUCCAAACGCACAUAGAAGGCUUGUUCUUGUUUUUUUUUUGUUUGUUUGUUUUUUGUCUUUUCUAGGGCUGCACUUGCGGCAUAUGGAGGUUGCCAGACUAGGGGUUUAAUCAGAGCUGUAGCCACUGGCCUCCACCACAGCCACAGCAACACAGGAUCCAAGCCACAUCUUUGACCUACACCACAGCUCAUGGCCAUGCCAGAUCCUUAACCCACUGAGGAAGGCCAGGGAUUGAACCCGCAACCUCAUGGCUCCUAGUCAGGUUCACUGACCUUUGAGCCACGACAGGAACUCUCUUGUUCUUGUUUUUUAUGCAUCUUCUCAUCCAUGUUUUUCAGAACAAGUAGCCAUAAUAGACAUUUUCCUGGAACAUGUGGUAAAUUACUAAGGAUAAAACAGGAGGGCUGCCCAGGAGGGUUGGACCCUGCUCUCUGAAAGGCACAGGGCAGCCACAAAGAUUCCAAGAGUAGCGGUUGCAGAGACCACAGUGUGAGCCAGGAAAAGUACAAGUGUGAGGUUUCUAAACCCAAAGACUUGCCCAGCGUGACCUCAACAGUCAAGUCAUCAAAUCAGAACCCACUGGAUCGAGGGACAAGGUUUUCAAACAAAAAAACUAAGAGUGAGGCCAGAGCAAUUUCUGGACAGAUGGGGGGCUGUAGAAUGGGCAGGAGGUGGGAGGUGGGGGCUUAUGAUCUAGUGCCUGUGUCCGCAGGCACCACCAUGCCCUGAGCCUUGAAAAUUACAGUGACAGAAGCAAAGGACAAGUGUGAGAGAUCACGGGCGGGAGUCCUGGCGGGAUUUACAAAGAAAUAGUCUUUUAGGAGUUCCCUGGUGACUCAGCAGGUUAAGAAUCUGGUGUUGUCACUGCUGUGGCAUGGACUCU
rnacentral:lncRNA from 1 species